GCCCAGGUAGCUCAGCAGAGAGAGCGCCUGCAUCGUAUGCGGGAGGCCGGUGGUUCAAGUCCAUCCCUGGGCU
rnacentral:tRNA from 1 species